UCUCACUCAACUUGCCUUAGUUUCUAAGCUCUCUGUUUGCAUUGUUCCUUACUGGUUCCUUCUGUUAAUACCCUGUUAUCAUCCUCGUUACCUAGCCUGUGCCCUGGUCCGGUCCUGAUUCCUUCCAUGUCUGUUGUGAAGAUUUUUUAUGCAUCUGCUUCCAACAUGUUUAUGUUUUUUCACCUGCCUGAGUCCCUGUGCCUGGUCUUUGGCCUCCAGACGAAGUCCGAUCCGCCCGGUGGGAUUCCAGUCCAGAGGAAUGAGGCGGAGAAAGCGAGCCACUGCAGUCUGCUGUAGUUUGUACUGAACCACACUGUCUGCAUUAGAGUUACCUGGAAAAGACUAAAAACACACAGAUAGACACAUUAUACAUGUAAUUGUUCCAGCUAGGAGAACCAGACAUCUGUCUCAUCCAGCCAUAUUCUCCAGUUCCUCAGAGCAGGGUGCCAAUGUUCAGUCCACCGGAACCAUCCAGCAACUAGAUGCAUCUCUUCUUCAACACAACUGAAUCAAAUGGCUGAAUUCCCUCAUCAGUAGGUCAUUCAGCUCUGCAGAGACCUGGUAACGAGCAAUUUAUUUGAUUCAGGUGUGAGAAACGUUGCAUCCAAAUGUUGCAGGACAGUAGCUCUCAAGGAUUAAAGAUGGGCAUCCCUGUCACAGAGGAUCCCAAGACCUUCCUACUCCAGAAAUGAUAUCCCUUCAGAGAGUCUUGUGUGACCUUGGGUCACCUCCUAGUGAGACAUGCCCUGAAAAACUCCAAAUUGAGACACCAAGGAUGCCUCCUGACUAGAUGUCCAAACAAUCUCAACCUCCGUUUGAUGUAGAGGAGCAGUGGGUCUAUUCCCACCUCUCCUAGGAUUAUUAAGUCCGACCACCCCAGAGAGGAAUCUCAUUUCGACGGUUUGUACCCAGGAAUUAUUUCUUUUGGCCAUAGCAAAUACUGAACGUAGAUGCUAGAGGUACCAGUCAAUCGAGUGCUUCUUCUUUAUCUUUUUGACAAAGAUAGUUCAGAGCAACAUCCUUAUUACUGCUAACAAAGCCCUGUUCCAUCUAUGCACCCGCUAACUCCAUCCUGCAUCUACUAUGGAACACAUCCCGAUACUUGAACCGCUCUGCUUGAAGCAGACUCAGCCCCUACCCAGAGGAAACACUCUGCACAUGUCCCGUUCAGCACCAUGACAUCUCAUUCACUGGAACUGACUCAUAGGCUGUCCACUUCACAUCCAGCUGCAAACCACUCAAGUGAACACUGAAGAUAAUGGUUCCUAAACUAGACACCAUCUUCUCCACAACUGUGCCUUAGCGAUCCUGUCCAUGAACAUCUCAAACAAGAUCAGAGACGAGGGGAAACCCUGAUGGAGUCCUACCAAUGGUGGAGAAAACCUCUUUGUGUCGAGUGAUACAGAGACCGGGUAACCGACAGAAGAAGGCCCUGUUGUUUUAACUCCAACAGAAUAUUAGAGGAUUAUUAUAAGAUUAUCCCAUUUUUUUGCAAUCAAAGUAGAUGUCCCUAAGCUUUAUCUGACUUUUAGUAAACUGAAAAAAGUGCAUCAAUGCAAAUACCAUUUGAUUUCUGUUUGUAGACCAAAUUAUUUUGAAAGCCUUAGUUUAGAUUCAUUUAAAAUGGGGGAGGGGUAAAAAGAAAACAGAUUUUAUUUGAGUAUUUGACCUGAUUGCUGAUCAGAGGUUGGCAUGGAAAAAUUGUACUUUUGCUGAAUAUACCUUGAAUGACAAAGUAUAUUUUAUAAAUAA